rnacentral:lncRNA from 1 species
CGCGGCCCCCAGUCUGUCCGCGUCCGCCGGCGAGCAGCCCCCGGUGAUGGGGAGGGGAGGGCCUUGCAGGCUGGGGUCUGGGCUGGCCGUGUCGGGAGCUGUCCCUGCCCGCAGGGCGCCCGCGCGUGUGCCGGGGGAGCGGGGAGGCCGGCGACCGCGGUCCCGGUUCCCCCUCUGUGCCGAGGAGCAGUCUGAAGGUCAGAGGUUAAAGGUGGCGGAGGGUGCGCAUGAGCAGGAAGCUGGAAUCGGCACCCUGGGAUGGGAUGUGCCAGACCAAACGCCUGCCCCCGUGGCGUCUAAAGCGUCCACCCUGAGAGCCCGGCCCCUGUCCUCGGCUGCAGCUCGUCAGACGGGAGGGGACAGGCAGCCCCCCCCCCGCGCGCGCGCGCUGACCGAGACGCUGGAAACCCACUCGCAGGCCGCCCCUCGCUUUAUCCAUCCUCCUCAGCCUGUGAUUAAUUUCUUCCUGCUGUCCUCAUGGUAA